UGACCCUACGGGGCGCAGCAGUGGGGAAUAUUGCACAAUGGGGGAAACCCUGAUGCAGCGACGCCGCGUGAGUGAAGAAGUAUUUCGGUAUGUAAAGCUCUAUCAGCAGGGAAGAAAAUGACGGUACCCGACUAAGAAGCCCCGGCUAACUACGUGCCAGCAGCCGCGGUAAUACGUAGGGGGCAAGCGUUAUCCGGAAUUACUGGGUGUAAAGGGAGCGUAGACGGCAAUGCAAGUCCGGAGUGGAAUGCGGCAGCUCAACUGCCGAACUGCUCUGGAAACUGUAUGGCUUGAGGGCAGGAGGG
rnacentral:rRNA from 1 species